rnacentral:rRNA from 1 species
UACGGGGGGGGCAAGCGUUGUUCGGAAUUACUGGGCGUAAAGGGCUCGUAGGCGGUCAACUAAGUCGGAUGUGAAAUCCCCAGGCUUAACCUGGGAACUGCAUCCGAUACUGGAUGGCUUGAAUCCGGGAGAGGGAUGCAGAAUUCCAGGUGUAGCGGUGAAAUGCGUAGAUAUCUGGAGGAAUACCGGUGGCGAAGGCGGCAUCCUGGACCGGCAUUGACGCUGAGGAGCGAAAGCUAGGGGAGCAAACGGG